AAGAAAGGCCUUCCAGAGACUAUCUCACCUGGGAAUCCAUCCCAUAUACAGCUCUUAUUGGAGGAUCCAAACAAAAGCAUACCAACCUCAUGUAUUUGAAGGACAAGGACCACCAUGUUACCUGCUUGUAGAAACUGGAACCACAGUCAAUCAAGGGGGGUGAAAAACAUAAAUUCAUCUAAUCUAGGAUGAAAUACUGAGAAGAAUGUGUCACAGUCAAGAAAUACCAUAGCAAAUGAUCACUGGAGGAAUCAAGAGGUUUAUUCUUGGGAAUUGUAUUGAAGAAGCUGGCUUGAUUCCUGGAUAGCAGUGGUAAAAGCAAACCCAAGUGGAGACAUCUCUCUAGAAAGAUUCAUGUGAAAAACAACAAAAAAGAAGAGAAAAAUGGAAAAACUAAAGACUGGAGAAUGUAUCAAUUCUGACACAUGAGCAAAUACCAUAAAGAUUUACCCAAAUACAAAUGAGAAAACAUGACAUCACAAUAUCCU